CUUCAAGUUUCAAUUACAGUGCCACUCAAGGCAGAGAAAAAAUCAACAAAGGAGAAGAAGUUUACCAGUGAAGAUGAUCUGAAGGACAAGGAGUGGUUUGUAUAGCAGGUCGUGGUUAGAAACGAACUUGGAGCAAAAAAACAAGUAAAAUUGUUGAUUUGUGCCGUGGCUGAUAUUCGAAGGUCUAUUCCAUCAAUGCUUGAUUGAAACUGGAUCGAAGGAAGAUUUUGUUUUGUGCCUUUAAGGGGAACUUUGUUAAUUUGUACUAACAUAUUGUGUAGUAAAAAUGGCUUUUUUCAAACGGUACUAAUAAAUUUGUGAGAAUCAGAAUAUGACCAAUCAUCCAAGAUUGCAUUUUCUUAUGAAUGCUUUCCUCAAUAGCUAUUUUCUAAUAGAUACAUAUGUUUCCUUAUGACUUGAAUGUAUGAAUAUUCAGUGGAUUUACAUGUUAAUAAAAUAAUAACAUUUGCAAGCUCCUUUAUGUCUACCAUAUUUUUCAAGUAACAUUUCUUAUGAAAAAAUUAUAUUUAAUAUUCUCGCGAGUACAGAUACUAGUAAAGAGGAGAGAGAGAAACGAGAAGAACAAAUAUCUAAGAGAGAAAAUGAAUUCUUAUUUCUUAUUAUGUCUGGAAUGUUCUAUCAUCAGUGUAUAUACAAAUUAAUGAAUGACUAAAAGCAAACUGUGCCGGGUAUACAAGGUGGCCCAGACCAAGUAGAAAACAAUGAGACCCAAUAAUUCCUUAGCUGUUAUCAAGGGUAGCAUAUUUGAGCGCAUAAUUUAAAAAACGUAAUGGGUAUUUGAACGCAUAAUUUAAAAAAUGUAAUGGGUUCAACGCUAAAAUUAAUAAGUUUGAAUUAGACCAAUAUACUUAUUUUGGAUUAGAUGAUAAAAAUAUUCAUAGAUUUUGUAUGUCUUGAAUUUGAACUGAUACUAUGAAUGAACACAGAGUAUUGAUUAUAUGGAUCCAAUAUCUGGUUCACGAGUUCCAUUUUCACCCAAACUAUACAUAUAUCAGGCCAAAAUUUUACAUCAGAAAAAACCUGAAAUUUUCAAAAGUUCUAUUACCAUUUCAGAUCAGAAUCCAUACAGUUUCAUUCCCUAUCUUAUUAAUCAUAUUCAAACCAAAAAAAACACAUAAAUAAAUUGAAAUACAUUUUGACAAGAACUUGCAAUCAUAUCAAAAUGUUUUGUAUCAGUUGCUAGUACAAAGUGAUUCCAAUUUUCUGAAUUCAAAUUGGAAAGUAAUAAGUCUAGCUAACAAGUGUAGUUGUAAUUUAAGCUAUGAGACGAGAGGGUAAUCAAUGAUUAAGCAACAUAACUAAGCUAUUUUUAAGCAGGUCAACUUACACAAACGAGAUCACACAAAUCAAAUCCAGAUCCAUAAAACAAAAGCAAAAUCUAAAAUAAAAGGCAAAUAUCUCUGUUUUUUCCAAAUAUAAACGCUAUACAUUCAACAUACUUGUAUUACUCUACGAACCGACCCGCCGGAAUUGCGUGUUGCCGCCGUGUAAGGAUUUGGAGGCAGAAGGUGGCGAUGGAGGUAAAAAAUGUUUCCGGUUCGUCGACUCAUCUGCGACCGGUCCAAAUCGGGGCCGGUUCAUAGCGGCGCCGCCGUGUUAGGCGGUGAAGUAGAAGAUAGGUUGAAGAAGGAGGUGUAGGAAGAUAAAGCCA